rnacentral:rRNA from 1 species
GGCGAACGCUGGCGGCGCGCUUAACACAUGCAAGUCGAACGGAUAAGCCAUCCUCGUGUGUGUUUCUCGAGUGGAACACAGGUGCAUCACACGUGCAACCCCUCCCCUUUAUUUUGAUAGCACCUAAGAAACCUGGGUCUUAUACAGUAUUAGGACUCCUCCGCCCGGGUGGCUUGAGAAACCUUUCGGCGGGGGGGGAUGGACUCGCGGCUUUUCACCUGUUUGGUGGGUUACGGGCUUACCAAGCCUUUGACGGGUAGCUGGUCGGAGAAGCCGACCAGCCACACUGGGACUGAGACACGGCCCAGACUCCUACGGGAGGCAGCAGUGGGGAAUAUUGCACAAUGGGCGGAAGCCUGAUGCAGCAACGCCGCGUGCGGGAUGACGGCCUUCGGGUUGUAAACCGCUUUCGACUGAGACGAAGCGUGAGUGACGGUACUGGGCAAAGAAGCCCCGGCUAACUACGUG